CAGGUCUUGGAGAGAGUCAAACAUGUCAAAGUGCGGGGAGGUACAGAGCUAACACAGGCUUUGCCGUUGGGAGAAAGGGCCACAACCUCUGCGAGCUUUUGCACUUGGAAAAAAAUCUUCCUCGAUUUGUCGGUUUAUCCGCACCAAAGCGAGAGUUAAGAGUCCGAGAUCCCUGCGCCUGACAACUUCUCUCCAGCGAACAUCUCAGCCCUGAGUAAGAGCAUCGACAUGGAUGACAAAAUCCCAAAGAAACAUGCAAUCUACGCUGUAGAAACCCAUGGAACCGAUGAUCUGAGUAAACCGCCUCCUGAUGGCAAGGAGAAGAAGUACAAGGGCCUCUGGAAGAGGAAGAAGGCAGGCCGGAAUGUGGACGAUCUCAAGAAGGAGAUUGACAUUGUAAAGCACUUUACUUUCAAAUUCUUAUUUAUGUGUUUAUUUAUUUGCUCACCUUUCUUCGAGGGGUCGGUUUCGGAUGACAGGCUAUAGCUAAGACUUACAAAUUUCACAUUUGCCACCACUGACGGCCCCCUAACCUGCCUGUCUCCAUUUAGGUGGUCUCUGAUGUUGUCACUUCUCUUUGCUUUGGUUUUAACCAACAUGGCCUACAAGGACUAAGCAGUUGUCUGUUUUAAGUAAGACAUUAUUGAUAUUACAAGAGAACUGAGUGGGGCACGCAAGCUGUGCAAGGCGCUAUAUGAGACUCUUUGGCAGGUUUUUCAUUCCAGGCUGCUCUUGCUCCAUUUUACUUUUACAGUAUAUGUGGAUUCCUUAGCUCCAUAAAAUCAUUAAGCUAGUUGUGUGAUGGAGCUCGUAAGGCGUAAGAUCGAGCGGCUCCUCUGAGAAGACUAACUAAUUAACUAAGACUAACUAACUAACUAAGACUAACUGAGAAUUAGUGACAAACAGCUAGGAGGUCAGGCAACGAAUUGGGCAGAGUAGUGAGGUGUGGCAGGAUCAGACUUCAAGGAGCAGCAUACCAAGUGAGGUAUACGGUCAUAUCGGGGCUGCACCAUGAUGUGGACUUGUGAAAUGUGACUUGUUCAAGCUACUGAGUGAGUGACCUGCAGAAAGGUGUCAGGAUCGGACCUCCAAGAGAGAGGAUCUGAAGGUUUAAUAGGGUUGGGUGCGGACUUCUGUCAAGCUGGGUCACGAUAGGAGGGGUUUGGGGGGCUUUUACUACCCCUAGAAAUGAUAAAGCACAGGCAUAACUCCCACAAACUGAACCUAAGCGCCAUUAGGUUUAAUGAAAUAACAAAUCCAGACAUGAAAAGACUGAGGUACAAACUGAAUUGCAGUUCAGUACAAGUGGCGCGUUUAUUUAAAAUCACAAAUCUUUACUCAAUAUAUCAUAAAGUUUAAAAAGCCUGGCAGAGCAAGGAGUUUAAACACCGGGGGUCUGGGGUCCUCGAAUAAACAACGCACUCAUACACCCCCCAAUUGUAAUCUUAUUACAUGCUCAGCGCACAGUAAAGCCGAUGAUUUAACAUCUAAUCGGUGCGACCGCCCGACUUGCCUGCGCGAGUCGGUCGAGUUGCUUUCACGAAUACUAGAUGAGUGUCUGUGGUAAACGGUGAUGGGCCACUGGCACGUCGUUUUCAUCUCUCUCUCUAGCCGUUGAAGUUUUCCUCCACUCCGUUUUCUGCUAUUUUCACAAACACUUUCUUUACCGUCACUCUCAGUGCCCCUCGUCACUUUACUCCUCUUUCUCUUUGGUGGAAUUGUCAAUUGGUUUAAAGCAAAAAGUCACUGUG